CCUCCUCCCUGCCCUGCUGCACAGAGACACUGGUAAUAAUGACAACAACACACAGAGAAAGACUUUAUACUGUAAGGGAGAGAAAGAGAGAGAAAACCAACAUCCACAAGCCGAAAAUAAUGCAUACCGUUAAAUAUACCUGUUAUAACUCCAAGGGGAGCACCAUCUACCUAUCCACCACCAAAACUGACAGCCGAGCAAGCAACUUCUUUCUCUCCACCCCAUCGCUGGAUUGUUCCUUCCACUCUUGCUCAUCGUAUAAAACAAUAAACCCUCAAGCGGCUUCAGCAACUUUCAGAGAGCUAACAACAGAUCCUCAGAGUGCUAUCAACCAGAUGACUGCAAAUCCUUCCAUUGCCCACCAGUCAGUUAGAAAUGAAGAAGCUUCUUGGAUGAGAAGUGAAACAUCAAGGGAAAAAAAAUCAAGAAAGUCCACUUGCCUUUUGGAAAGUCCCUUUGGGACAUUGACAUUUCAAGUUUAAAAUAUAAGCUCAGGAGAUGGUCCUUCGUUAGUUUUCCUUUACCAGUCAAGGUAAAUCCUUGUUGCGUAGGAAAGGAAAUUCUGGCUCAGUGGUUUUACUUGGUAGAUAUAAAACAACAAUUAUAUAAAAUCAGAUUAUAUAUGCAAUAUUUAGUAGAAAUGAAUGAAGAAAGAUGAUAAAAAGC
rnacentral:lncRNA from 1 species